rnacentral:rRNA from 1 species
UACGUAGGGCGCAAGCGUUGUCCGGAAUUAUGGGGCGUAAAGAGCUCGUAGGCGGUCUGUUACGUCCGCUGUGAAAACCCAGGGCUUAACCCUGGGCUUGCAGUGGAUACGGGUAGACUAGAGGCAGGUAGGGGAGAAUGGAAUUCCCGGUGUAGCGGUGAAAUGCGCAGAUAUCGAGAGGAACACCGGUGGCGAAGGCGGCCUUCUGGACAGUAACUGACGCUGAGACGCGAAAGCGUGGGGAGCAAACAGG